rnacentral:rRNA from 1 species
CCCAGACUCCUACGGGAGGCAGCAGUGGGGGAUAUUGCACAAUGGGGGGAACCCUGAUGCAGCGACGCCGCGUGGGUGAAGGAGCGUUUCGGCGCGUAAAGCCCUAUCGGCAGGGAAGAAGGAGGACGGUACCUGACUAAGAAGCCCCGGCUAACUACGUGCCAGCAGCCGCGGUAAUACGUAGGGGGCAAGCGUUAUCCGGAUUUACUGGGUGUAAAGGGGGCGCAGAUGGCAGCGCAAGCCAGGAGGGAAAGCCCGGGGCCCAACCCCGGGACUGCUCUUGGAACUGCGCGGCUGGAGUGCAGGAGGGGCAGGCGGAAUUCCUGGUGUAGCGGUGAAAUGCGUAGAUAUCAGGAGGGACACCGGUGGCGAAGGCGGCCUGCUGGACUGCGACUGACGUUGAGGCCCGAAAGCGUGGGGAGCAAACAGGAUUAGAUACCCGGGUAU